CAGACUCUAACAGAACUUUGUUCACAGUCUUUGAUAUUAAUCUGAUAAUCAGUUUUAAUGUUUCUGUCUCUCUUCUGUCAGACGGGACGGAAACCUUGGCUCAGUUCCUGAGGUCAGAGGUCAGAGAGGAAACCGUCCGGUUCUGGUCGGCCUGUGAGGAGAACAGAACCUCUGGUCCAGAAGCCCGGCUGCUGUCCAGAACCUCGUAUGUUUCUAGAGUCGUCGUGGAUCCAGAAAGCAUCAGACAGAGGUUCAGGACAUCAUCUGACCUCUGACCUCCAGCUGCUGCUUCACCUUCAGUUUUUUAUUGCUUCAGACCAUCAUCAGCUUCAUCAUCGUUUCCCUCCAGAUGUUUAAUAAAAUGUUUCCAUCACAGUUUGGUCUCCAGUGAAUUAUUGAAGUUUUUCAUUAUUUUUAAUCGUUGAUCUUUCUGGUCUCUGCGGCUUCAGACAGAAACGAUCUGAUGGUUUCCUGUUUCUCAUCAAUGAUCUGCAGAUCAUCAAACAAAAAGCAACAAACCGCAGCUUGAAACAGGCUUCAGUGGAAACUUCCAGCUGCAGGUCAGAGCCAAUCAGAUUCAUCCAACCUUCACUGACGUCUGAUUUGAUGCUUUACAACAACAAAAGGCCUUAAACUCUCAUCAACUUAAACUGCCAGAAAUAAAAUCUUAACUUUAUUUUUUAGUCUUUAAAUAAAGUCUUAUACAUUUUAGGGAAUGGAAAGAAGAUCCACAUGUUUUCAUCCAACACUGAAGAACCUGAACUAAUGGAAUCGGCGCCUCCUAGUGAAGCGUAAAAGUACGGUGGAGCAUUAGGGUCAAAAUGAAAGACAAA